UACGAAGGGAGCGAGCGUUGUUCGGAAUCACUGGGCUUAAAGCGUGCGUAGGUGGAUUGGUAAGUAAGGAGUGAAAUCCCAGGGCUUAACCCUGGAACUGCUCUUUAGACUGCCUGUCUGGAAUUCGGAAGAGGUUGGUGGAACUCCCAGUGUAGAGGUGAAAUUCGCAGAUAUUGGGAAGAACACCGGUGGCGAAGGCGACCAACUGGUCCGACAUUGACACUGAGGCACGAAAGCGUGGGGAGCAAACAGG
rnacentral:rRNA from 1 species